rnacentral:rRNA from 1 species
GACGAACGCUGGCGGCGUGCCUAAUACAUGCAAGUCGAACGCUGAAGGAGGAGCUUGCUUCUCUGGAUGAGUUGCGAACGGGUGAGUAACGCGUAGGUAACCUGCCUGGUAGCGGGGGAUAACUAUUGGAAACGAUAGCUAAUACCGCAUAAGAGUAGAUGUUGCAUGACAUUUGCUUAAAAGGUGCAAUUGCAUCACUACCAGAUGGACCUGCGUUGUAUUAGCUAGUUGGUGGGGUAACGGCUUACCAAGGCGACGAUACAUAGCCGACCUGAGAGGGGGAUCGGCCACACUGGGACUGAGACACGGCCCAGACUCCUACGGGAGGCAGCAGUAGGGAAUCUUCGGCAAUGGACGGAAGUCUGACCGAGCAACGCCGCGGGAGUGAAGAAGGGUUUCGGAUCGUAAAGCUCUGUUGUAAGAGAAGAACGAGUGUGAGAGUGGAAAGUUCACACUGUGACGGUAUCUUACCAGAAAGGGACGGCUAACUACGUG